rnacentral:rRNA from 7 species
AGAGUUUGAUCAUGGCUCAGAUUGAACGCUGGCGGCAGGCCUAACACAUGCAAGUCGAACGGUAACAGGAAGCAGCUUGCUGCUUUGCUGACGAGUGGCGGACGGGUGAGUAAUGUCUGGGAAACUGCCUGAUGGAGGGGGAUAACUACUGGAAACGGUAGCUAAUACCGCAUAACGUCGCAAGACCAAAGAGGGGGACCUUCGGGCCUCUUGCCAUCGGAUGUGCCCAGAUGGGAUUAGCUAGUAGGUGGGGUAACGGCUCACCUAGGCGACGAUCCCUAGCUGGUCUGAGAGGAUGACCAGCCACACUGGAACUGAGACACGGUCCAGACUCCUACGGGAGGCAGCAGUGGGGAAUAUUGCACAAUGGGCGCAAGCCUGAUGCAGCCAUGCCGCGUGUAUGAAGAAGGCCUUCGGGUUGUAAAGUACUUUCAGCGGGGAGGAAGGCGAUAAGGUUAAUAACCUUGUCGAUUGACGUUACCCGCAGAAGAAGCACCGGCUAACUCCGUGCCAGCAGCCGCGGUAAUACGGAGGGUGCAAGCGUUAAUCGGAAUUACUGGGCGUAAAGCGCACGCAGGCGGUCUGUCAAGUCGGAUGUGAAAUCCCCGGGCUCAACCUGGGAACUGCAUUCGAAACUGGCAGGCUAGAGUCUUGUAGAGGGGGGUAGAAUUCCAGGUGUAGCGGUGAAAUGCGUAGAGAUCUGGAGGAAUACCGGUGGCGAAGGCGGCCCCCUGGACAAAGACUGACGCUCAGGUGCGAAAGCGUGGGGAGCAAACAGGAUUAGAUACCCUGGUAGUCCACGCCGUAAACGAUGUCGACUUGGAGGUUGUGCCCUUGAGGCGUGGCUUCCGGAGCUAACGCGUUAAGUCGACCGCCUGGGGAGUACGGCCGCAAGGUUAAAACUCAAAUGAAUUGACGGGGGCCCGCACAAGCGGUGGAGCAUGUGGUUUAAUUCGAUGCAACGCGAAGAACCUUACCUACUCUUGACAUCCAGAGAACUUUCCAGAGAUGGAUUGGUGCCUUCGGGAACUCUGAGACAGGUGCUGCAUGGCUGUCGUCAGCUCGUGUUGUGAAAUGUUGGGUUAAGUCCCGCAACGAGCGCAACCCUUAUCCUUUGUUGCCAGCGGUCCGGCCGGGAACUCAAAGGAGACUGCCAGUGAUAAACUGGAGGAAGGUGGGGAUGACGUCAAGUCAUCAUGGCCCUUACGAGUAGGGCUACACACGUGCUACAAUGGCGCAUACAAAGAGAAGCGACCUCGCGAGAGCAAGCGGACCUCAUAAAGUGCGUCGUAGUCCGGAUUGGAGUCUGCAACUCGACUCCAUGAAGUCGGAAUCGCUAGUAAUCGUGGAUCAGAAUGCCACGGUGAAUACGUUCCCGGGCCUUGUACACACCGCCCGUCACACCAUGGGAGUGGGUUGCAAAAGAAGUAGGUAGCUUAACCUUCGGGAGGGCGCUUACCACUUUGUGAUUCAUGACUGGGGUGAAGUCGUAACAAGGUAACCGUAGGGGAACCUGCGGUUGGAUCACCU